rnacentral:misc_RNA from 1 species
AAGUCGUAACAAGGUCUCCGUUGGUGAACCAGCGGAGGGAUCAUUACUGAGUUAUUAAAACUCCAAACCCUUUGUGAACCUUACUGUCGUUGCCUCGGCGUGAGCUACGGCUACCCUGUAGUUACCCUAUAGCUACCUGCAGCUACCCUAUAGUUGACCAGUAGCUACCCUGUAGUUACCCUAUAGCUACCCUGCAGCUACCCUAUAGUUGACAUGUAGCUACUCUGUAGCCGGCUUAUGGCCCGCCGAAGGACCGCUAAACUCUUGUUUUUUACCACUGUUUCUCUGAAUUGUAAACUUAAAUAAGUUAAAACUUUCAACAACGGAUCUCUUGGUUCUG